AACGAACGCUGGCGGCGCGUCUUAAGCAUGCAAGUCGGACGGUAAGGAAGGAGCUUGCUUCUUCCCUAGAGUGGCGGACUGGUGAGGAACGCGUGGGUGACGCACCCUUCGGACGGGGAUAGCCGGUAGAAAUACCGGGUAAUACCGGAUAAGAGCGCCUCCUUGGAGGGAGGCGGAGAAAGCGGCUUCGGCCGCGCCGGAGGAACGGCCCGCGUGCUAUUAGCUAGUUGGCGGGGUAACAGCCCACCAAGGCGACGAUCGGUAGCCGACCUGAGAGGGUGAUCGGCCACAUUGGAACUGAGAAACGGUCCAGACUCCUACGGGAGGCAGCAGUGGGGAAUAUUGGGCAAUGGGCGAAAGCCUGACCCAGCAACGCCGCGUGAGGGAAGAAGGGUUUCGGCUCGUAAACCUCUGUCCUAUGGGACGAAUAAAUGACGGUACCAUAGGAGGAAGCCCCGGCUAACUACGUG
rnacentral:rRNA from 1 species